CCAGCUCUGAGACCGCUUCUGUUUUAAGACCGCGCGUCGUGAGGCAUCCAGGGCGUGUUACGGGACGAACGCGUGAGUGUGUGAUGCCCGCGUGCCUCGGGCAGAGCGCCCCUUCCCCAUGGCCGUGAGCAGGUGGAGAAAACACCGUCAGGGGGCAUCUCCAGGGCAGGAGUGGGGCCUCCUCCCCGCUGGGGCCCGAGCCGAGCCUCUCCCCCCAGGCGCACAUCCCACAGCGCAGGUGUGCCGCCCCUAGCCUGUCCUCAGGCAUUGAGUCCCCAAGCUGGGUGAGGCCUGGGGCGGGGGAGGAGGAAGCAGCUCCAACACGCAGAGGAAAGGCUCUUUCCUACCGAUUUGGGGCUGGUGAGGGUGGUGGCAGUCCGGGCCCCCGCGUCUCGGGACUGCCUGCCCUCAGAACAGGAGCUGGGGGACCUGUGACUGGGACAGUGCCCUGUAUUUCAGGGCUGCGGAAGGCAGCUCUGACUUCUUCAACAUUCCUGGAAAAUGACCUCAAUUUUCUGGAAGAGGGAAGGAGGAUCUGGUUCUUGGAACAUUCCCACUUCUUCACACAGAUGCCACUCAGUUGCACGUGAAGGCUGGGGCAUCUGUGGUCAGCACUGGCCACCGCCCGCGGUCAGGCUGUCCCCAGCCAGGGAGCCCAGCCCUGGCUCAGCUCCUGCGGUGGCGAUCCGUCCAGCGGCUCUGCGUGGACCUGCCUGCUCUCUCAUGCCUGUCCUGAGCCUCCUUGACCGGAAGCCGGUCAAGCAGGCCAGUAACGGCCCUGGGGGCUUCCUGGGGGAACUCUGUUAUGCUGUAAAUGGCGUCCUCGGGCUGCUGUGUCCCAGGGCUGACUGGCCACCUGCCACCCAUCUUUCUCUCUUCUGCCACUGUGCCUUUCCCGCGUGUGGCCUCUCUGACCAAGUCCUGCUGAGCAGGGAAGGACUAAGAGGUUAAGCAAGGGCAGGAGGAAGGUGGGGGUGGAAGGGCUUGCCACCUCUGGGCUCUGGGACCAUGUUGUGACCAAGGAGGAUAAGUGUCAGUGGAUCCGUUUGGUGUCAGAAAAAGCAGGCGCCCUGGCCCUUUUCUGGAGGUGCUGGGAUCUUUUCUCCAUCUUUCCCUCCAGCAGGUGCCUCUGGCCUUGGUGUUAUUCUUGCUUCCCUCCAGGGUGUCCUCAUCCUAGAGGGCCGUCUGGGGGGUCCUCUGGGACCUUGGGUUGGCGGUGUCUCGGGGCCGCAGUCCACUUCACCUGAGCCCUUUGUGGCACGUGGCUCUCUCACGAUUCCCCAGCGGGACUUGGGGCUUUGUUGCUGCAUCUGGCUGUACCCGGGAGGCACUGACAUGUCUGUUCACCGCUUGAUCCGCAGGGGCUGUGUUUGUGCUUUCUGGCAUUGUAUUCGGCCCCGAGCGCUUACUGGACACUCAACAAAUGGCUGUCCCUUCUCUGGCUGCUGUCUGCUAGCCCUCUCACCAGCCUGGGCUCUGUCACUCGGCCUGUCUGCUUUAAGGAAUACUCAGUCUACCCCAGCACACUCCCUCUGCUUGAAGAGCGGGCUGGAAGGAGAAAGGUGUCCUCUUUCUGCUCAUGUGGAAAUUGCCUGGGAAGCUAGUAAGCUGUUGGCUCUGAAGGCAGUUGGCUGUCCUGAGUUUUCGAGUCCCUUGGAAGGAUUCUGGGGAGUUGGCCGAUUGGCUGCAGACCCGAGCUCAUCUGACGAUGUGAACAGCCCCCUGAGACCUGCAGGAAUGUGAUGACAUCAGUCCUUGUCCCCCUCGCUGGUCCACUUUAGCUCAUGGCAUCCUCUGACGACCUCCCUGGAAGGAGACGCUCCCUUACAGAUGGGGAAGCUGGGCCUUUUGGCUGAAGUCAUUGAUUCCCGAGGUCACACGGCUGUAGGGCAGAAGGUGUCAGGACAGACACGGGUGGCGGCCCCCCUGUUCCAGGUGCUCGCUGUUGAGCCCGUUUGACCUGCUGACCUCGUGUUACACACGAGGAAAUGGAAGUCCUCCGAGGCGAAACAACACCCAGGCGCCAGAAGGAGCCGCAGCUGAUGGCCUGGUGUGUGACGUGCCGGACUUCUGUUUCCAGGCAGAUAUGAACCUUUAAAGAUAUAUGUAGUUUUUUUGCACGCAGAGAACUUUUUAUUUAUCCAGAACGAGUACCUAUAAGCAGAUGAUUAUAGCGAUGCUUGUGAAAGUCAAAGAUUGCCAGUAGCCUUAAUAGGGGUUCGGUUCGAUCUGUGAUAGAGCCUUCCAGAGAAUUACUGUUUGUCUGGUAGAAAAAGGGCUCUGCACGCACAGCCGUGAGAGCUGUUUACAACAUGUCAUUAAACGUAAAAACCGAAGGACAGAUUGUCGGCGUCGUGCGGACACGGCGUCCUGGGCAGCUUCAUAUGGAAGCGUAUCCGGCUUGGGCAGCCGUGGCAGACACAGCCCAGAAUCCCCUGGGCCGACUUGAUAGCACGGUCGGUGGCUGGAUGUCUGUGGCCCAAGCUGCCUGUGACACCGGGGCGCCUCCAGAGAGCCCUGGGCUCCCCUUCCCCCGGAAGUUACUCGCUGCCGUGUGCCAGCGAAGUCCUGUGGAAAGUGCUCGGGCAGGGGAGACCGUGGUGAUCCCCAGCUUGAACUGAAUCCUCCCUGGAGGGCAGUGCCUCAGAGCUGUUCCAGCGGUCACACCGAGUCACCUCAUUCGCACGCAGGCAGAAACCCAGGCCCGGAGGGGGAAAGUGGUGUGUCUGGGGCUCAGCAGGCUCCCCUGAGGUACUCUGGGUGUGACUCUGGCGUCUGUGCUGGGGUGGGGUGGAGGGGGCUGCAGCAGGUCUCUUCUAGCCUUCCGUGGCGUCUCCUCAACUUUCCUCUUCCUCUCCCUUCUCCCUCCUGUCUGCACCCCCCUCAAUGUGGUCUACAUACCCCCUUGUCAGAGCUGAGGAAACUGGGGCAACUUGUUGGGGAAAUCGGGGCAAGCAGAUCCUGGGUGAGAAUCUGGUUUCAUGCCCCUUGGAUGUUCCUGGUGUGUGCUUUGUGCCUGUGUGUGUGCGUA